CUCAAGGUGGACAAGAGACAUGUGGAAAGCAGCUAUAAAAUGCAGAUUCUGACUCCUACCUCACGGGAUUGUGGUGAAGAUCUCACGACAUACUGAUGCGGAUAGAGUGUGGAUCGUAGCACCAGGCGUGGCAAAGAGGGGCGAUUCAUGUUCACUGAAUGAAAGUGCCAUGUGGCCUCCCUCUCUGGGGACCCCAGUUCCUGUCCCGAUAUUGUC